ACUCAAAUGAAUAGACGGGGGCUCACACAAGCGGUGGAGCAUGUGGCUUAAUUCGAGGCUACGCGCAAAACCUUAUCCCGGGCUUGACAUGCACGGAUUAACCCGCGGAAACGCGGGCCAGGCCGCAAGGUACAACGUGCACAGGUGCUGCAUGGCUGUCGUCAGCUCGUGUCGUGAGAUGUUGGGUUAAGUCCCGUAACGAGCGAAACCCCUGUGACUAGUUGCCAGCGCGUCAUGGCGGGGACUCUAGUCAGACCGCCGGCGUUAAGCCGGAGGAAGGCGGGGACGACGUCAAGUCCUCAUGGCCCUUAUGCCCGGGGCUGCACACGUGCUACAAUGGGCCGGACAGAGCGCUGCCAGGCCGCAAGGCCGAGCUAAUCGCCCAAACCGGUCCCCAGUUCGGAUUGCGGGCUGCAACCCGCCCGCAUGAAGCCGGAAUCGCUAGUAAUCGCGGAUCAGCACUGCCGCGGUGAAUGGGUUCCUGAGCCUUGUACACACCGCCCGU
rnacentral:rRNA from 1 species